rnacentral:rRNA from 1 species
UACAGAGACUGCAAGCGUUAUUCGGAUUCACUGGGCGUAAAGGGCGCGUAGGCGGCCGCCUAAGUCAGACGUGAAAUCCCUCGGCUCGACCGGGGAACUGCGUCUGAUACUGGGUGGCUUGAAUCCGGGAGAGGGAUGCGGAAUUCCAGGUGUAGCGGUGAAAUGCGUAGAUAUCUGGAGGAACACCGGUGGCGAAGGCGGCAUCCUGGACCGGCAUUGACGCUGAGGCGCGAAAGCCAGGGGAGCAAACGGG